UGUUUAGAGGUGGACUUGAACCACCGACACAAGGAUUUUCAGUCCUUUGCUCUAACCAACUGAGCUAUCCAAAC
rnacentral:tRNA from 1 species